UACGUAGGGGGCAAGCGUUGUCCGGAUUUAUUGGGCGUAAAGAGCGUGUAGGCGGCCUGACAGGUCUGCUGUGAAAACUCGAGGCUCAACCUCGAGAUGUCGGCGGAAACCGUCUGGCUAGAGUCCGGAAGAGGAGAGUGGAAUUCCUGGUGUAGCGGUGAAAUGCGCAGAUAUCAGGAAGAACACCUAUGGCGAAGGCAGCUCUCUGGGACGGUACUGACGCUGAGACGCGAAAGCGUGGGGAGCGAACCGG
rnacentral:rRNA from 1 species